rnacentral:rRNA from 1 species
UACAGAGGUCUCAAGCGUUGUUCGGAUUCAUUGGGCGUAAAGGGUGCGUAGGUGGCGCCGUAAGUCAGGUGUGAAAUCCCGGGGCUCAACCCCGGAACUGCACUUGAUACUGCGGUGCUCGAGUACUGGAGAGGAGAUUGGAAUUUACGGUGUAGCAGUGAAAUGCGUAGAGAUCGUAAGGAAGACCAGUGGCGAAGGCGGGUCUCUGGACAGUUCCUGACACUGAGGCACGAAGGCCAGGGGAGCAAACGGG